AGAGUUUGAUCAUGGCUCAGAAUCAACGCUGGCGGCGUGCCUCAGACAUGCAAGUCGAACGCGAAAGUUCCCUUCGGGGAGCAAGUAGAGUGGCGCACGGGUGAGUAACACGUAGGUAAUCCACCUUUGGAUGGGGUAUAACAAUCGGAAACGGUUGCUAAUACCGCAUAAUGCAGCGGCACCUAAUGGUGACAGUUGUUAAAGCGGGGGAUCGAAAGACCUCGCGUCUGAAGAGGAGCCUGCGGCGGAUUAGCUAGUUGGUAAGGUAACGGCUUACCAAGGCUAUGAUCCGUAGCCGGCCUGAGAGGGCGGUCGGCCACACUGACACUGACAUACGGGUCAGACUCCUACGGGAGGCAGCAGUCGGGAAUUUUGGGCAAUGGGCGAAAGCCUGACCCAGCAACGCCGCGUGAAGGAUGAAAUCCCUCGGGAUGUAAACUUCGCAAGAACGGGAAGAAUAAGUGAAAGUUAAUAUCUUUCAUGAUGACGGUACCGUUUGUAAGCUCCGGCUAACUCCGUGCCAGCAGCCGCGGUAAUACGGGGGGAGCAAGCGUUGUUCGGAUUUACUGGGCGUAAAGGGCGCGUAGGCGGCCACCGCAAGUCGAUUGUGAAAUCUCCGGGCUUAACCCGGAAAGGUCAACCGAUACUGCGGGGCUAGAGUGCGGAAGGGGCAACUGGAAUUCUUGGUGUAGCGGUGAAAUGCGUAGAUAUCAAGAGGAACACCUGCGGCGAAGGCGGGUUGCUGGGCCGACACUGACGCUGAUGCGCGAAAGCUAGGGGAGCGAACGGGAUUAGAUACCCCGGUAGUCCUAGCCUUAAACGAUGAAUGCUUGGUGUCUGGGGUUUAUAGUCCCCGGGUGCCGUCGCUAACGCUUUAAGCAUUCCGCCUGGGGAGUACGGUCGCAGACUGAAACUCAAGGAAUUGACGG
rnacentral:rRNA from 1 species